UCGAGGAUCUUCGUCAAUGGGCGCAAGCCUGAACGAGCGACGCCGCGUGCGCGAUGAAGGCCUUCGGGUUGUAAAGCGCGAAAGUGGGGAUAAAACCGCAAGGUUGAUUGAUCCACAGUAAGGACGGGCUAAGUUCGUGCCAGCAGCCGCGGUAAGACGAACUGUCCUAACGUUGUUCGGAAUCACUGGGCUUAAAGGGCGCGUAGGCGGUCCGACAAGUCGGGGGUGAAAUCCUGCAGCUUAACUGUAGAAGUGCCUUCGAUACUGUCGGUCUUGAGGGAGGUAGGGGUGUGUGGAACUUCCAGUGGAGCGGUGAAAUGCGUUGAUAUUGGAAGGAACGCCGGAGGCGAAAGCGACGCACUGGACCUCUUCUGACGCUGAGGCGCGAAAGCUAGGGGAGCAAACGGGAUUAGAUACCCGCGUAGUCC
rnacentral:rRNA from 1 species